AUGGCGGGUAUCGACUUAUCUGGCAACUCUCUUUCGCAAGAGAUCCCAGGUGGGCUCACAACCCUUCUUGGACUCAGGUACCUGAACUUAUCUGGAAAUCAUCUGUCAGGUUGUAUCCCCGAAGACAUUGGCAAUCUGGUACUGCUGGAAUCCUUGGACCUUUCACAGAACCAACUCUCAGGGGAAAUUCCUCCAAGCUUUGCAGCUUUGAAGGCCAUGAGCGCUCUGAACCUCUCGACCAAUGAUUUAUCAGGGAGGAUACCUACAGGCAGCCAGCUGCAGACGCUCGUCGAUCCAUCAAUAUACAGCAAUAAUCCAGGGCUAUGUGGUUUUCCAUUGAAGGACUGUGUAAACUCGUCAGACACCGACGCAAAAUGA
rnacentral:rRNA from 1 species